UUUUUUUUUAAUGAUUUUUAGUCUAGUUUCAAGUUUGAAAAUUAGGCUGUAGUGUAUAAUACAAUGGUUUAAUUGAUUGCACUUAAUAUUUUAAAUAAUAAUUUUUUUAAUGCGUUAUUACUUUAAAGAUUCUAUGAUGGGUAUCGAGUUAAAACCAAAUAAAUACAACGAAUAUGCAAAAGCAAUUGACAGAAGACAUUUAGUAACAUGAAAAUUUAAGAGAAUCUGAAACAUUGCGUAACUAUGAAGACGUUCUACCAGUACAAUAUUUUUUAUUGAAACUAAAAAAUGAUUUAUUAUCUAAAUUUUAUAAACAUCAUAUAUUGUUAUCUUACGUAAAAACAUAAAAUACGUAUCUUGCUCUUUUUUCUCUA